rnacentral:misc_RNA from 1 species
AUUACAAUGCAAUAUUUUCUUCUAAACAAAGGACACAAAUACACAAAUACAACAAUACAGACACCAACAAAUAGAAUGAUGGGAGAAUGAAGAGGUAGAAUACAAGAUAUCAACCUAAUAAAGAAGAGAAAAAAUGUGUGAUGUCGUCAACUUCCCGAAGCAAAGGAGGCUGCAUAACUACGUCGUCUUCCCCAUCGCUUGAGAAUGAUGAGUGUGGCUUAAAGGUUCUGAAGGAGUCACAGCAUGGAAAUAGGAGCUCAAGUAGCUGGAGAUGGAGGCAUUUCAGAGCUGCAGGAUGAUAGAAUGUGGCCUUCAUAUCCACAUUCUUAGCCUCUGGUCUGUCUCGUGUUGUAGGACUUGCAAUUCAAGCACUUUUGAGCCACAACAUGAUACUGCACCUUCGACGUCUUACUGCAAUCGUUGCAAAGAAUCCAGACCAUUUUAUUUUGGUAUGGCUCUGGAACGGGCGUAGCUGCAAUUUCCAUGUCAAAUUUUUCCCACACCUUGGACAUAUCACAAACGGACUUGGAGCAGAGAGGGCAAGCA